GCCCCCGGCCCGGCCCCCCCCGGGAGCCCCUCACGGCCCCGGCCCGCCCGGGCCCGGCCCCCCCGCGGCCGGGAGCCGCCGGGCAGCGCUCCGCGGGGCCGGGGGGCCGACCCCACGCUCCGGGGGGCCGCACAGCCGAGCUGGGGGCGCCAGGUCACCCCCGAGCCCGGAGGGUCCCUCACAGGCCGGGGGAGGCGCGGCCCGCGCUCUCCUGUCAGCGCCGCCCGGCGCGGGGAGCGGCGGCCACCGGCGGGUCCCAGAGCCCGCUCCCCGCGCCCCUUCACCCCGCAGCGCCUCCCCCGCGGCCUGCGCGGCCGGGCCCCUCGACCCCGAGCCGGCCAGACCGGGGGUGACCCCCCGCCCCUCACCCAGGGCUUCGCAUCCCGACUCCGGCAAAGUUGGGAGCCGCGGGGUCCGGCCGGCACCGGGUGAGCAGCGGGGCGCCGGCGGCGGGAGCCGCGCUGGAAGCGGCCGCCGAGGAGGGCAGCGAAGAUUUGGGGGUCUGGGUGCCCAUCGCUGCCUCCAGCACAUCGCGGGACCCCAAGGACAGCCAAGGAGCCUCCGCGGCGGUUUGUGUGCCCCCCAAACAGCCCUGUAAGCAGGCAAGGUGAAACACCCCCCUCGUUUGAGGGGGAAAAGGCCACCAGGGAAUUCUCAGGUGUCCCAGAGCCUCCCCGCAUAGCCUGGGACACCGGGACGUGUGUCCUCGCCAGGAUGUCAUCUACACGGGCUGCACCAGCAGGCCUGAGACGCGGCAGCGGCUGCUUCUUCCCAGCCAGGACAGCGUCUGUGACCGUCCAUCUUCUCCUGAAAAACGCCUUUAAAAACCAACAAGCCUUGGCAGUUCUUCAAUCCGUGAUGUUGUGGUGUCUUUGGCAGGACCACAGUCUCCUACCGCUGAAGUCCUUCCAUCAGUUGCAGAAUGGGCUUUUUUCUUCAUCUUGUUUAAUGCUAAGAAACUUCUGAGAAGCCAGCAACUAGCACAGGAGAGAAAAAUACACACAUGAUGAGUUAAACCCCACACAAGCCCAGAGGCUCUGCGUGAAAUACAGUGCCACAGCAAACGCAGGAGGUCAGAACACUUUCUCUGCCUUGUUCCUGUGGUCCUUGGUCCACAAGGAUCUCGUGAGCAAGAGGAAGAUCAGCCACUGCCAUGAUGCGUGCAGGACCCAGAUGCUACACAGAACAUCGAGGGAAAAUUCAGCUAUUUGGAGACGUUGACUCAAAAAAUGCUUGGUUUCCUUUAUAAGCUGAAGUUUCUCUUCUUUCCUCUGUGUACGAGGUGAGCGAUAAACCCAGCUGCUCUCCGCAAUCAGGAUUCGUGGGCUCUGAGCGAUGACCAGGGAGCACCAUGGAUGACACAGCCUCGGCAGCACCGACCUCAAGCAGUGUGACAGCUGUAGGAAAAGGGAUCAGCGCUUCUUCCUUGCCCAGUUGAACCAUACCCGAUGGGCUAUCAGUGAAUGUGAGCUGGGUGGAUAAAUUGUGCUCAGCAUCAUGUUUCUGGAGUGCACAGGGAGGCCUCUCUGGAGGGCCAGAGCUCAGCGUGGGGACCCCAGCAGCGAGCACAGCAUCUGAGCAUGACACACAAAUAAACCAGAAACCUGCCUAGAACAAAUACCAAGAAUUGGUGAUGCUGCAGAAAAGAACUGAGCUAAAACAACCUGAGCGGCGCCAGCCCUGGCAGCCAGCAAGGACAUCGUGCAGCAGCGUCUGCACCUUCCCAGCGCAGCAGAUCCCCUGGUUCAGUGUACUCGGAAUAUAAUCCUGUGAGCUCGCUGAGGACUGAACAGUGAGCUUUCCUGGCAUUCAAAUGGGAAACCACUCAUGCAAGGCAGUGUUUAUGAGACCACCACCAGCUCGUUGUGAAACGAGAAGUUAGCAAACACAUUACCUACCCAGCAGAACACGAGAGCUGGAAAAAUAGGGAUGCUCCCCAGAUUUCACUAAAGAGACUGACCCGGGGGGCUGGGACCACGUUUUACCUUGCAGAUACAACAUUUGGUCACUCACCAAAGCCUGUGCAUGGUGGGCUAAAAGAUGCAGGACUGGACUGCUUGCUUUUUUAAAAAAAUAAGUGGGUUUGUGUCCAAAAGCACAUGACAGCGGGCUCAGCGCUGCACACUCGCUCUCCGACACUUGCCUUAGGGGUUCGCCAAUGUCCUUAAAGAGAACAGAGGUACCACCAAAACUCCCUUAUAUUACCCCAUUUCACUGCUUUCCUUAGGGGCUGCAAUGUAGAAAUGCCGCCUUCGGACGGGACUUUCACUCCGUUAGACAGAUUUAUCAGCAGGAGCCUCUCCAGAAGCACAACACGUUGCCUCUCUCCUUGGAGCGGAGCUGCACUGUGCUGCUCCCCGCCUGAAACGCAAAGGCAGCUCCUGCUGCUGCCAAAGUGCUGCCUAAAAAUGACAUUUUUACUCGAGUCCUCCCCUCUGCUGUGAGGCGCAGCCAACAGCGGGUAACUACAGCACUGCCCAGCACCAGAGUGAGUUAAGUUGCAGUGUAACACAGAGCACACGCCGCUCCUUAGAUGUGUUCGAGUGACUUCAGAAACCCACUGCCUUGAAUUUGCCGAGCUAAACAGGACCAGGAAAAUUAAGAGACUGGCAAUUAUCAAGUUUCGGGAACCACAUUGCUGCUGUGCUGUUUGCUGUGUGGAUGCAAUAAUUUAGCAUGGACGCUCGGGGCUGGUUUGGCAUGGAAAGAGGCCCAGAGCCCCUCGGAGUGCUGUGACAGUCCGCUGCCAAAACCCUGCUCUGGCGUGGAGCUGCCCGCAGUGAGGCUGCAACGAAAACCGCAUGUGGUUGAAACGGGCUGUUUGGGGAGGAAGCAUUCACCUGGGGUAGAGAUUUUUCCCCAGAAGGAGGAGAGUUGUCCAGGAGGCUGCGUUCGGGGCAGGAGAACUCGAUCCUGGCCAGCGGCUGCUGGAUGCUAAAGCGGGUUCUAAAAUCCUUCUUGCUCAGCAACCCGUUUUGUGGGGUAACAGUAAAGGUGUAAAACACCUCCCUCACAUACACAUCGAACCCUUGCACUUCCUGAAGAAACAGAGCACAUGGAUGAACCCCACUCUCUAAUGAGUGGUUCUUCAUUAGCCCCCAACCCAUUCCUGCAGCGCUACCUGGCCCAAGUUAGAUGUAGCCGAAGUAGCACUGAAACUGCAGCAAACCAGCAAUAAACUGCAGCUUCACAGCACUCAGGAGGGGAAUACUUGGACAAAAUGAAUGCUGAAGUUUAAUGAUAAAUAUCAGACAUUUAACAGCUGCUUUUUGGUGAAGGUGAAGGUGAGGCCGCCUCCCCUCUUCCAGGUGUUUGUAACAAAACAUCUGGAGCACGGACAGGUUGAGGAUGGAGGACUGCGUGCUCCAGAGCUGUACAAGAGCAGAAAGCACGACAAAGCCAUCUGCAGAGCUCCCUUCCUUUUGAGAAACUAGUUUAUUCUCAAGUGGGGCCUUUCCUUGUCCCUUUCUCGAAGGGAUGAGGGGAAAAAAAAAUAUACAGCUAAUUGCUGAUUACAGAACAAUAUGGCUGCGUGUCUGCUGUUCUUCAGCCUGUCAGCAUCGAGGCACUGACCAGACAUGGGGAUGGGUUUUUUCUUCCCUCAUUAACUAGGAAGAACAAAGCAGCAAAGCCCCAACACGAGAUCUUCCUACCCUGACUUUUGGCCUGUUUUUUUGGGAAAGAGGAGACAUCCAGGGCUGUUGUGCCACCCACAGAGGUGCACACAGCUGAACCAGCGCUAGGAGCCAACAGGAGGGAAAAAGAGGAUUUCACCACUAAACACAGGGGUACUGGGGGAAAAGGGUCUUUGCAUGUCUUGACUCUUAGUUUCAGGAGCAUAAGAGCGGAGAGAGUGGGGACGAGCCCCAACAUCACCCCACGCGCUGCAGGUCAGCCAUCCAGGCUGAAGAAGGGGCGCUUGCACUGUGCACCCCCAGAGCGGUGCUCAGAGCUCUUCCAACCUCCACAAAUGACUCCGGCAAGUUUUUAAAAGUCGCAGAAAAAACUAAGAGAACCCCCUCUCCAGCAAUGUGUGAGGACAGAGGAAUUAAGCCUGGAGCUCCGGUGUCCGUGCUGCCAGGAGGCUGUUGGCCGCUUGUUUUCAGCACAGGUGGGGAGGCAGCGCAACCCUGGAAAUGCAGCACUAAGAGUUUCCCACGUGCUGGAGCGCUCCCAUCACACCGGCACCUUGCAAACAUGCACAGGAGCUUAAGCAAACGCCUGAAACCCAGUUCGCUUACCCACUGAAAGCGUCAAGGUGCAGCAGUCUGGAGGAUUGUGCACCAACUGGUUCCUCCGUCAGGCCUUGGGGAAGGACCGGGCUGCAGGGAAGAGCACGGUGAGUCUGCAAGGGGGAGGACCACCAGCCCCCACCUUCCCAAGCAGCCUCUGUGGCCACAGACAGGGCUUAAACCCGGCUCAUCUGCUCCCGAUCCCUGCGAUCAGAACUAAUACAGGAAACCCAAUAAGAAAUCCCGAAGGCAGCAGCUUGGCUGAUCUGCAUUUCCAUAGGAAACAGCUGCAUCACCAGUAAAACCUUCAGCCCCUUCUCCCUGUGUCCCUCAGGACGAGCUCGUGCCAGCACACGGAUGUGACAGGGACAUUCCUCGGCGUCGCUGCCCGUGGCAGAGGGGAUGUGUCUGCUCCUCCACGCUCCUGGGUGGUUGCGUUAAGCCAACCUGUUUGGCUGGCUGGGAGGUGAUGUCUUGGGGAAAAGCAGGACGAAAUGGGACGGCAGCUUUUUGACUCCCUGCAGCUGGCUCCUCCACGCCCUGGCUGCCACGGCUCCUGCUCCUCGGGUGUAAAACGGAGAAAAUCAGAUUGUUCUGCUUACUCAAGGCGUUGCACAAAUGGCUGGAUAUCCACAAUGCCACUGCCUUGGCCAGAGGCUGAAUGGGGAAGGAAAGCUGCUGCCGCUGCUCCGCGCCAGCCCCAGCACCGACAUCCCCAGCGCUCUGGUGUCCCUGGCAAAGGUGAAAUCGUGGGUUGAGGAGUCAGAGGAAAGCAGCGUGGCAGUGAGGAGCACCCCUGCCCUCCCCAGACACUCUGUGCGAGCACCGAGGAACACUUUGCCUUCAGCCCUUCAGCCCCCAGCCCAGAUACUUAAUUUAAUAACCUGGUGGUUUGACCUGUGAAGGCAAAUCACCCCUUGGUUCUUUCUGCUCCAACUUGCACCAGUAUCAAACUGGGCUACGUUCUCCAACCUGACACGAGCGUCAUCACCGUCAAGACUUGUACCCACAAAAGCCAUCUCAGCUGUUAUGAGCUGGCUGGGAAUUGUGUGACCUCUGCAGAAAAAGCCCUUCUGCUUUCCUGAUUUUCAGGUUCGUUGAAAGAUGCUGUUGUGCAGAACCUCAUUAGUUUGUGGUGAAUCCAGCUGCAAACGUCUGGAGCUGGGAAUUAGCACCUAAGUGCAGAAAACACAGGAAAAAAGGGAGAUAAUGUUUCUCAAAAUGGACUUUGCUCAUUUAUUUUAUCAUUUGUAGCUUCAUUUGAAUUAUUUAUGAUAACAGUUCAUAGUGGCGCCUGUAGCAAAUGUUGUGAAAAUAAUGAAAUCCAAUUCCCAUGGGAC